AUUGAACGCUGGCGGCAGGCCUAACACAUGCAAGUCGAGCGGAUGAGUGGAGCUUGCUCCAUGAUUCAGCGGCGGACGGGUGAGUAAUGCCUAGGAAUCCGCCUGGUAGUGGGGGACAACGUUUCGAAAGGAACGCUAAUACCGCAUACGUCCUACGGGAGAAAGUGGGGGAGUCUUCGGACCUCACGCUAUCAGAUGAGCCUAGGUCGGAUUAGCUAGUUGGUGAGGUAAAGGCUCACCAAGGCGACGAUCCGUAACUGGUCUGAGAGGAUGAUCAGUCACACUGGAACUGAGACACGGUCCAGACUCCUACGGGAGGCAGCAGUGGGGAAUAUUGGACAAUGGGCGAAAGCCUGAUCCAGCCAUGCCGCGUGUGUGAAGAAGGUCUUCGGAUUGUAAAGCACUUUAAGUUGGGAGGAAGGGCAGUAAGUUAAUACCUUGCUGUUUUGACGUUACCAACAGAAUAAGCACCGGCUAACUUCGUGCC
rnacentral:rRNA from 1 species